UAUCUGGUUGAUCCUGCCAGUAGUCAUAUGCUUGUCUCAAAGACUAAGCCAUGCAUGUGCAAGUGCAUACCGUAUUUCGGUAAAACCGCGAAUGGCUCAUUAGAACAGUUGUUGUUCGAAAGAACUGAUAUCCACAAGGAUAACUGUGGAAAUGCUAGAGCUAAUACACGCCUUGAUGCUUUGAGUGCCGUUCUCAAAGCGCGUUUAUUUGCCAAUUUUGAUCGGCUCGCUCGCUCGCUGAAUAGCGCGAGACGAGUCGAUAAAAGUCGUUGAAUGGCCAGAUAAAUUUUGCUGAUCGCACGGUCUUAGUACUGGCGACGAAUCUUUGAAACGACUUGCCUAUCAACUGUCGAUGGCAGGCUACGUGCCUACCAUGGUGACAACGGUUAACGGGGAAUCAGGGUUCGAUUCCGGAGAGAGAGCCUGAGAGACGGCUACCACAUCCAAGGAAGGCAGCAGGCACGCAAAUUACCCACUCCCAGAAUGGGGAGGUAGUGACGAUAAAUAACGGAACGUAUCUCGACGAGACGCGUUACCGGAACGACUGAGCCGUAUAUAAGCUCGGCGAAAGCUAUUGGAGGGCAAGUCUGGUGCCAGCAGCCGCGGUAAUUCCAGCUCCAAUAGCGUAUAUUAAACUUGCUGCGGUUGAACCGCUCGUAGUUGGAUUGUGAACCGUGACCACGGUCCUCUAAGUGAAGAGGAAUGGCUUUGCCGCCGUUGGUCGUGAUCAAUGAUGUCAUUGUUGUCCGGAUGCUCUUCGUCGGGUGUCUUGGACGGCAUGAAUGUUUACUUUGAGAAAAUAAGAGCGCCCAAAGCAGGCUGCUAUAUGCUUGAACGGAAUUUCAUGGGAUAGUGAAAGAUGAUCUCGCUGGCGUUGAAAAACUGGCCACGAGGUAAUGAUUAAAAGGGACAGACGGUGGCAUUCGUACUGCUACGUUAGAGGUGAAAUUCUUGGAUCGUAGCAAGACGAACGAUUGCGAAAGCAUUUGCCAAGAAUGUUUUCAUUAAUCAAGAACGAAAGUUGGAGGAUCGAAGGCGAUCAGAUACCGCCCUAGUUGCGACUUUAAACGAUGCCAACUGGCGGUUCGGCGAAGUCUCUCUGACGACUCGCUGAGCAGCCCCCGGGAAACCAAAGUCUUUCGGUUCCGGGGGAAGUACGGUUGCAAAGCUGAAACUUAAAGGAAUUGACGGAAGGGCACCACCAGGAGUGGAGCAUGCGGCUUAAUUUGACUCAACGCGGGAAAGUUCACCCGUCCCGGACACUGUCAGGAUUGACAGAUCAAGAGCUCUUUCUUGAUUCAGUGGAUAGUGGUGCAUGGCCGUUCUUAGUUGGUGGAGCGAUUUGUCUGGCCAAUCCCGAUAACGAACGAGACUCUGGCCUACUAACUAGUGACGGCGUGGUCUUUUCGCCGAGCACUUCUUAGAGGGACCAGCGGCGGUACAAAGCCGCACGAGAAAGAGCAAUAACAGGUCUGUGAUGCCCUUAGAUGGGCGGGGCUGCACGCGUGCUACACUGAUGGCAUCAACGUGCGUCCAAGCCUGACCUGUGAAGGUCAGGAAAUCGAUUGAAAUGUCCGUCGUGACUGGGAUAGGGAAUUGCAAUUAUUUCCCUUGAACGCGGAAUUCCCAGUAAGCGUGAGUCAUUAGCUUGCGUUGACUACGUCCCUGCCCUUUGUACACACCGCCCGUCGCUACUACCGAUUGGAUGAUUUAGUGAGGCCUCUGGACUGACGUUGUUAUUGUCCUGCGACUUUGUUUUGCGGGGCUGUAACGUUGGAAAAUUGGCCGAACCAAUUCAUCUAGAGGAAGUAAAAGUCGUAACAAGGUUUCCGUAGGUGAACCUGCGGAAG
rnacentral:rRNA from 1 species